GCGGAUAUGGGGGAAUGGUAGACCCGCUGGUCUUAGAAACCAGUGCUGAAAUAAGCGUGCGAGUUCGAGUCUCGCUAUCCGUACAA
rnacentral:tRNA from 1 species